GGGGAUGUGGCUGUGUGGAAAGCACUUGCCUAGCAUGCAUGAGGCCCUGAGAUCCAUCCCCU
rnacentral:tRNA from 1 species